GGCACUACGGUGCUGAAGCAACAAAUGCCCUGCUUCCAGGAAAAGCCUCUAAGCAUCAGGUAACAUCAAAUCGUACCCCAAACCGACACAGGUGGUCAGGUAGAGAAUACCAAGGCGCUUGAGAGAACUCGGGUGAAGGAACUAGGCAAAAUGGUGCCGUAACUUCGGGAGAAGGCACGCUGAUAUGUAGGUGAAGUCCCUCGCGGAUGGAGCUGAAAUCAGUCGAAGAUACCAGCUGGCUGCAACUGUUUAUUAAAAACACAGCACUGUGCAAACACGAAAGUGGACGUAUACGGUGUGACGCCUGCCCGGUGCCGGAAGGUUAAUUGAUGGGGUUAGCGGUAACGCGAAGCUCUUGAUCGAAGCCCCGGUAAACGGCGGCCGUAACUAUAACGGUCCUAAGGUAGCGAAAUUCCUUGUCGGGUAAGUUCCGACCUGCACGAAUGGCGUAAUGAUGGCCAGGCUGUCUCCACCCGAGACUCAGUGAAAUUGAACUCGCUGUGAAGAUGCAGUGUACCCGCGGCAAGACGGAAAGACCCCGUGAACCUUUACUAUAGCUUGACACUGAACAUUGAGCCUUGAUGUGUAGGAUAGGUGGGAGGCUUAGAAGUGUGGACGCCAGUCUGCAUGGAGCCGACCUUGAAAUACCACCCUUUAAUGUUUGAUGUUCUAACGUUGACCCGUAAUCCGGGUUGCGGACAGUGUCUGGUGGGUAGUUUGACUGGGGCGGUCUCCUCCUAAAGAGUAACGGAGGAGCACGAAGGUUGGCUAAUCCUGGUCGGACAUCAGGAGGUUAGUGCAAUGGCAUAAGCCAGCUUGACUGCGAGCGUGACGGCGCGAGCAGGUGCGAAAGCAGGUCAUAGUGAUCCGGUGGUUCUGAAUGGAAGGGCCAUCGCUCAACGGAUAAAAGGUACUCCGGGGAUAACAGGCUGAUACCGCCCAAGAGUUCAUAUCGACGGCGGUGUUUGGCACCUCGAUGUCGGCUCAUCACAUCCUGGGGCUGAAGUAGGUCCCAAGGGUAUGGCUGUUCGCCAUUUAAAGUGGUACGCGAGCUGGGUUUAGAACGUCGUGAGACAGUUCGGUCCCUAUCUGCCGUGGGCGCUGGAGAACUGAGGGGGGCUGCUCCUAGUACGAGAGGACCGGAGUGGACGCAUCACUGGUGUUCGGGUUGUCAUGCCAAUGGCACUGCCCGGUAGCUAAAUGCGGAAGAGAUAAGUGCUGAAAGCAUCUAAGCACGAAACUUGCCCCGAGAUGAGUUCUCCCUGACUCCUUGAGAGUCCUGAAGGAACGUUGAAGACGACGACGUUGAUAGGCCGGGUGUGUAAGCGCAGCGAUGCGUUGAGCUAACCGGUACUAAUGAACCGUGAGG
rnacentral:rRNA from 1 species